ACUACAGGAUUCCUUAGUAGCGGCGAGCGAAGCGGGAUGAGCUCAAAUUUGAAAUCUGGCGUCUUUCAGGCGUCCGAGUUGUAAUCUAUAGAAGCGUUUUCUGUGCUGGCCCGCGUCCAAGUCCCUUGGAACAGGGUAUCAAAGAGGGUGACAAUCCCGUACUUGACACGACCACCAGUGCUCUGUGAUACGUUUUCUACGAGUCGAGUUGUUUGGGAAUGCAGCUCAAAAUGGGUGGUAAAUUCCAUCUAAAGCUAAAUAUUGGCGAGAGACCGAUAGCGAACAAGUACCGUGAGGGAAAGAUGAAAAGCACUUUGGAAAGAGAGUUAAACAGUACGUGAAAUUGUUGAAAGGGAAACGAUUGAAGUCAGUCGUGUCUAUUGGUUUCAGCCGGUCCUGCCGGUGCAUUACCUUUAGACGGGUCAACAUCAGUUUUGGACGGCACACAAGAGCAGUUUGAAUGUAGCACCUCCGGGUGUGUUAUAGCUUUCUGUUGCAUAUGCUGUCCGAGACUGAGGACUGCAGCUCGCCUUUUAGAGGCCGGGGUUCGCCCACGUUCGAGCUUAGGAUGUUGACAUAAUGGCUUUAAACGACCCGUCUG
rnacentral:rRNA from 1 species